AGUGCUGGGGUUCAGGGAGGGUGGACGCUUCAGUGGAGCGGCCCUGGGGCGCGCCUUCCCCUCCGGAGCCUCGGUUUCCUCCCUUCGAACUGUGGGGAAUGGGAGCCCCUUGCCCUGCAGGCGCAGAGUGAGACCUAGAGGGUCCGGGGCCGGCGCAAGCCCACGCACUGCGAUCGCUCAAUGAACUAGCCCCUGGUCCAGCCUCCUUCUGGCUCCUCGACCUUUCCCGGGGUCUCACUUUAGGACCCACCUCUCAGCAUCUCUGCCGAGAAGGUCAAGAUGGUGCAACCUUGAAGAUGCUUACAAGGAUGGGCUGGCCUGGAAAGGCUUCUGCAGCUGGCAUAGCUACAGUCUGGAACAUCAGUGACGUUCAGGCAGACUUCCUGGAGGAGUCUUUCAUCUUGGGAGACUUGCGGUUCAGAAAGUGCGGGGAGCCCAAGCUGGCAGGAUGUCAAGCCUGAAGUACUGGGCGUCUUGGAGCUUCUCCCUGGAGUACAGAACUGAGGAAGCUUCAGAAAGUGUGGACAAUGGGGCGGGAGCACUGCUAACGAGGGUGACGGAGGAACUCUGAGGACUCCCAGGUUUUUCAUCUUGGAGGACCCCCGGGGGCCCUCAAUACUGCAGAGCCAUCUUGCCCGUUCCUUCCCUUGAUGUUGGAUUGUUCCUGGCCUCCGAUGCAUCUGGAAUGAUGCAUGAAGCAGCCUGCCCAGAGGGAGGAAGAGUUUUGUGACUGCAAGUCUGUUCAGAGUCAAGUGUGGCCCCACAGGAUCCCAAACCCUUCAGAACAAGCCAGUCCAAUGUUGCUGAGCUCCAUCCACUCCCAUUUACUUUAAGAAACACUCUAGACCACUGUGGUCUAAUCCAGUAGCCACGAACCUCGUGGGACUAUGGAGCAGUUGACAUGUGGCUGGUCCAAACUGAGAUGCCCUGUGAGUGUAAACGAGUCCCUGGAUUUCAAAGACUCAGGGCAUUUGAAGAAUGGAAACUGUCUCACUAAUCAUUUUUUAUAUUGAUUAUGUGUUGAGAUGAUAAUAUCUUGGAUACACUGGGUUAAAUAAAAUAUACUGUUAAGAUUAAUUUCA
rnacentral:lncRNA from 1 species